GGAGAAUUAGCUCAGCUGGGAGAGCAUCUGCCUUACAAGCAGAAGGUCGGUGGUUCAAAUCCGUCUUCCUCCGCCA
rnacentral:tRNA from 1 species